UACAGAGGAUGCAAGCGUUAUCCGGAAUUACUGGGCGUAAAGCGUGCGCAGGCGGUUUGUUAAGUCUGCUGUGAAAUCCCCGAGCUCAACUUGGGAAUUGCAGUGGAUACUGGCAAGCUGGAGUACGGUAGAGGAAGGUGGAAUUCCCGGUGUAGCAGUGAAAUGCGUAGAGAUCGGGAGGAACACCAGUGGCGAAGGCGGCCUUCUGGACCAGUACUGACGCUCAUGCACGAAAGCGUGGGGAGCAAACAGG
rnacentral:rRNA from 1 species